rnacentral:lncRNA from 1 species
GGCUGUCAAAAUGCACAAUGGGGAGAAACCUGGGACAAGAAGAAUGUAAAAAGGACUAUUUCUGGCCUGAAUAGAAGUUGCAGGUUUACACUGAGGCUUAGCUCUUCUAGAUUUUUUUAUUGCUGUGGAAAAACUGAAGUGCUAAAACCUUGUGUGUGUGGCUACAGGACAUCAGGAUAAAUCAGCAGAUAACAGGUCACACGGAAGGCGACUGUGCGGAGCUGCCUGACAGGGCAGGUGCAGAGAGCAACGGAGAGGGAGUGUUUCAGCCCAGCAGCUAACCGGCCUCGCUGCGUCUCUGCCGAAGCAGUAAGUGA